rnacentral:miRNA from 1 species
AGGGUGGGCGAGGUCCAUCCCCGGCUCCAUCCCCCGGCCUGCUCAUCCCCCUCGCCCUCUCAG